rnacentral:rRNA from 1 species
GACAGAGGGUGCUAGCGUUGUUCGGAAUUACUGGGCGUAAAGCGAACGUAGGUGGUUUUGUGUGUCUGGUGUGAAAGCCCACGGCUCAACCGUGGAAGUGCGCUAGAAACUGCAAAACUGGAGUGUAGGAGAGGAUGGUAGAAUUCUCAGUGUAGAGGUGAAAUUCGUAGAUACUGGGAGGAACACCGGUGGCGAAGGCGACCAUCUGGACUAUAACUGACACUGAUGUUCGAAAGCGUGGGUAGCAAACAGG